rnacentral:rRNA from 1 species
AAUAAUUAAGAGUUUGAUCCUAGCUCCGAAUGAAUGCUAGUAGUAUGCUUGAACACAUGCUAGUUAAUAUUAAAUUUUUGAUAAUUAGUUAUAAUUUUUAGAAAUUUAAUAUAGCGUAAAGGUGAGGAAAAAAUUAUACUCUCUAGAAAUGGCUGUAAAAAUUUAAUUUAAUCAGUAAUAAUUAAUAAAGGAAAAUAGAGAAAAUUUAUUUUCUGUUUUUGGAUGUAUAAUUUUUUAAGAUUAAAUAGUUGGUGAGGUAAAAGCUUACCAAGUUUUAGAUCUUUAGUUGAUUUGUGAGAAUGACCAACCACAUCGAGAUUGAAAGAAAGCUCGAACUUAAAUUAAGGCAGCAGUGGGGAAUAUUGGACAAUGAACGAAAGUUUGAUCCAGCAAUACUACAUAAGUGAUGAAGGCUUUAUCGCUGUAAAACUUAGAAUUUAAUAAAAUAAUGAUUAUUAAAAGAUUAGUUCUGACAAACUCUGUGCCAGCAGUCGCGGUAAUACAGAGGGAACAAGCAUUAUUCGUCUUUACUGGGCGUAAAGUGUCUUAAGGUGAUUUUUAUUAAUUAAAUAUUAAAUAUUAAAGCUUAACUUUAAUAUAUAUUUAAUAUUGAAAAAUUUGAGUAUCAAAGAUGAUUAUAGAAUUUUUAAUGUAGGGGUAAAAUCCGUUGAUAUUAGAAAGAAUACCUUUUGGUGGAGACAAUAAUCAAGUUGAUUACUGACAUUGAUAGACGAAAGCAUGGGUAGCAAACAGGAUUUGGUACCCUGGUAGUCCAUGCUGUAAACAAUAAAUAUUAAAUAUUUGAUCUGGUUAAACAUAUAAUUUUAUAUGGGAAGAAAAUCAUUUUAGAUUUUAACAUCAAAUAUUAAAAGUUAACACGUUAAAUAUUUCGCCUGGGGAGUAAAACCGCAAGGUUGAAACUCAAAGGAAUUGACGGGAGCUUAUACUUACGGUGGAGCAUGUGGUUUAAUCCGAUAGUCCGCGUGGAAUCUUACCAAUUUUUGACAGUUAUUUAGUUUUGAUUAAAUAAACAGGUGUUGCAUGGUCGUUGUCAGCUUAUGUUUUGAAAUUUUAUAAGUAUAACCCUUAAUUUAAUUUACUAAUAUUUAGAAAAAUUUUUAAACUAAAAAUUACUAAGUAAGUACUAUUAAAUUAGAAAUAUAAAAGUUUUUUUAUAUUUUAUGAGGAUGAAAAUAGAUCGUUAUGACCCUUAUAAAUUGGGCUACACAUGUGCUACAAUAUUUUAUACAAAAAGUUGCAAUUAUGAGAAUAAGAGCAAAUCUUAUAAAAUAAAAUUAAAUACGGAUUAUAGAUUGAAACUUAUCUAUAUGAAGUUGGAAUCGUAAGUAAUCGUAAAUUAGUAUGUUACGGUGAAUCAUAGUACUUGAGCUCUGUACACACCGCCCGUCACAUUAAAGAAGUAAUUUUCGAUUGAAAUUUUGAUUUAUUUUUAAAUAUUCUAAAUAUAAUUUUUAUUUAGUUAUUUUUCUAUAAAUUUUAAUUAAAUUAUAAAUUAUAAUUUUAAUGAAGUCGUAACAAGGUAACCGUAUGGGAACAUGCGGUUGGAAU